rnacentral:snRNA from 1 species
AUACUUACCUGGUAGGGGAGACACCAUGAUCAUGAAGGUGGUUCACCCAGGGCGAGGCUCAACCACUGCACUCCGGCUGUGCUGACCCCUGCGAAUUCCCCAAAUGUGGGAAUCUCGACUGCAUCAUUCAC